CCCAACCGGAAAGAAGCAAAGCGACGCGCGCUCCGCUUCGCGGCCACGCCCCCCACGCCUCUGCCCGGAGGGGCGGGGCCCUGCAGGGGCGGGGCGGGCAGCCUGGGGGGCGGGCCCUGCAGGCGGGUGGCUCCGUCCCUCCCGCCCCCCCGAAGGAGGAGGAGACCGCAGGGAGGCCCCGCCCCGCCCCGCCGCCCGCGCAGCCGCGGAGCCGCCGCGGAGCCCGAGAGGCCGGCUGGGCAGAGGCAAGGCCCGCUCGUGUGGCGGCUGCUCGCCCGGCAAAGGUGACCGGCUGAAGGCGGCGGUGGCACCCUGGACGGGACCCUCCGGGAUUCCUCCCACAAGUCCGCCACAGGAGGACCUUCCCCGCCCCCCCCCCAUGGCCCUCUCCCAGCCCUGGACGGCCCCCCUGGCUGGGCCGCUGAUCCCCGGCUCCCCCUACGCGGUGGUGGUCUUGCAGGAGGGCUACUCCCGAGGCCUCCCGGACGGCAGCAGCCAAGCGGACGGGACGGUCUCUCUGGUCCUGGGGCCCCACCUCACCUUGGUGGACACGGGGGGGCCGUGGGGCCGGGAGCGGCUGCUGGCCAGCCUGGCGAGGCAGGGGGUGUCUCCCGGCGACAUCCGCCACGUGGUCUGCACCCACGGCCACUCGGACCACGUGGGCAACCUCAACCUCUUCCCUCGAGCGGACCUGACGGUGGGCACAGACUUCAGCCAGCCCGGCGGGCGCUACCUCCCCACUGGGCUGCGCCAGGGAGCCCCCUUCCUGCUGGACGCCGGGCGCCUGGAGGUGCUCCCCACUCCUGGCCACACGGGCCACGACGUCAGCCUGCUGGUGCGGGGCACUGCCCUGGGAGACGUGCUGCUGGCCGGAGACCUCUUUGAGCGGGAGGCGGACGAGGGCGAGUGGCAGCGGCUCAGCGAGGCUCCGGGGCGGCAGGCGGAGAGCAGGGCCCGCGCUCUGGGCCUGGCGGACGUCAUUGUGCCGGGACACGGGCCGCCCUUCCGGAUCCUGGUGCCAGCCGUCCACAUCCAAGCAACCGGGCAGCGUGGCUGCUGUGGGAACCGCUGUGGGGUGAGACGGGGCGGGGGCAGCACACCCUGGCCACAACACCUGCUGCCCGUAGGGAGAGGACAGAGCCGCCCCACGGAGGCCUCUGGAGCCCAGGGAUGCCCUUGGCCCUCCCUGCCCCGCUUCCAGGGAGGGGAGCGCCGGAGACGCUGCCCUGGCAGAUGUUCCUCUCGGUGCUCUUUGCGGCAGUGGGGCUGCUGGGGGCCGGCUACGCCCUGGCCGUCUCCGUGCCGGGCCUCGUCCACGGGCCCCUCUGCAAGUACCUGCCGGCCAACGGGACCCUGUCGGAGUGGGGGCGCCCCUUCCAGACCGGCGAGGGGGCUUUGGACUUCAGCGAGGAGAGCUACCUCUUUGACACCAGGCGCUGGGACACCUGCCAGGAGCCUCCCGGGGUCACCCAGUUCAACGUGAUCCUUUUCUCCCUCAUCCUGGGUGCCGGCGGGGUGGAGGCCGCCCUCUGCUUCAUCCAGGUCUUCAACGGGCUCUUGGGCUGCCUCUGUGGGACCUGCAAUGAGGAGAAGACCCCGCCGGCUCCGCAAACCUACAACUGACACCGCGGAGGACGAGACCCCCUUCCUUUUGGGGGGUCGGUCUCUCUCUCUCUCUGCCGUGGAUCUCCCCCCCCGAGACACUCCCCCCCGCCUCUCUUGCGCCCACCGGGAGCCGAGCCCACCCAUUGCCCAUUGAAGACGCCGCCUUUGCCUUUUCUCCCACAGCAAAGAGCAGCAGAAAUAAAGGCCUUGCUCUGCGUC